GGGUUGUGAGGUUAAGCGACUAAGCGUACACGGUGGAUGCCCUGGCAGUCAGAGGCGAUGAAGGGCGUGCUAAUCUGCGAUAAGCGCCGGUAAGGUGAUAUGAACCGUUAUAACCGGCGAUACCCGAAUGGGGAAACCCAGUGUGAUUCGUCACACUAUCAUUAACUGAAUCCAUAGGUUAAUGAGGCGAACCGGGGGAACUGAAACAUCUAAGUACCCCGAGGAAAAGAAAUCAACCGAGAUUCCCCCAGUAGCGGCGAGCGAACGGGGAGGAGCCCAGAGCCUGAAUCAGCAUGUGUGUUAGUGGAAGCGUCUGGAAAGGCGCGCGAUACAGGGUGACAGCCCCGUACACAAAAGCGCAUGUGCUGUGAGCUCGAUGAGUAGGGCGGGACACGUGGUAUCCUGUCUGAAUAUGGGGGGACCAUCCUCCAAGGCUAAAUACUCCUGACUGACCGAUAGUGAACCAGUACCGUGAGGGAAAGGCGAAAAGAACCCCGGCGAGGGGAGUGAAAAAGAACCUGAAACCGUGUACGUACAAGCAGUGGGAGCACAGGUUUACCUGUGUGACUGCGUACCUUUUGUAUAAUGGGUCAGCGACUUAUAUUCUGUAGCAAGGUUAACCGUAUAGGGGAGCCGUAGGGAAACCGAGUCUUAACCGGGCGUUAAGUUGCAGGGUAUAGACCCGAAACCCGGUGAUCUAGCCAUGGGCAGGUUGAAGGUUGGGUAACACUAACUGGAGGACCGAACCGACUAAUGUUGAAAAAUUAGCGGAUGACCUGUGGCUGGGGGUGAAAGGCCAAUCAAACCGGGAGAUAGCUGGUUCUCCCCGAAAGCUAUUUAGGUAGCGCCUCGUGAAUUCAUCUCCGGGGGUAGAGCACUGUUUCGGCUAGGGGGCCAUCCCGGCUUACCAACCCGAUGCAAACUGCGAAUACCGGAGAAUGUUAUCACGGGAGACACACGGCGGGUGCUAACGUCCGUCGUGAAGAGGGAAACAACCCAGACCGCCAGCUAAGGUCCCAAAGUCAUGGUUAAGUGGGAAACGAUGUGGGAAGGCACAGACAGCCAGGAUGUUGGCUUAGAAGCAGCCAUCAUUUAAAGAAAGCGUAAUAGCUCACUGGUCGAGUCGGCCUGCGCGGAAGAUGUAACGGGGCUAAACCAUGCACCGAAGCUGCGGCAGCGACGUUUAUGCGUUGUUGGGUAGGGGAGCGUUCUGUAAGCCUGCGAAGGUGGCCUGUGAGGGUUGCUGGAGGUAUCAGAAGUGCGAAUGCUGACAUAAGUAACGAUAAAGCGGGUGAAAAGCCCGCUCGCCGGAAGACCAAGGGUUCCUGUCCAACGUUAAUCGGGGCAGGGUGAGUCGACCCCUAAGGCGAGGCCGAAAGGCGUAGUCGAUGGGAAACGGGUUAAUAUUCCCGUACUUGGUGUUACUGCGAAGGGGGGACGGAGAAGGCUAUGUUGGCCGGGCGACGGUUGUCCCGGUUUAAGCGUGUAGGCUGGUUUUCCAGGCAAAUCCGGAAAAUCAAGGCUGAGGCGUGACGACGAGGCACUACGGUGCUGAAGCAACAAAUGCCCUGCUUCCAGGAAAAGCCUCUAAGCAUCAGGUAACAUCAAAUCGUACCCCAAACCGACACAGGUGGUCAGGUAGAGAAUACCAAGGCGCUUGAGAGAACUCGGGUGAAGGAACUAGGCAAAAUGGUGCCGUAACUUCGGGAGAAGGCACGCUGACACGUAGGUGAAGUGAUUUACUCAUGGAGCUGAAGUCAGUCGAAGAUACCAGCUGGCUGCAACUGUUUAUUAAAAACACAGCACUGUGCAAACACGAAAGUGGACGUAUACGGUGUGACGCCUGCCCGGUGCCGGAAGGUUAAUUGAUGGGGUCAGCGCAAGCGAAGCUCCUGAUCGAAGCCCCGGUAAACGGCGGCCGUAACUAUAACGGUCCUAAGGUAGCGAAAUUCCUUGUCGGGUAAGUUCCGACCUGCACGAAUGGCGUAAUGAUGGCCAGGCUGUCUCCACCCGAGACUCAGUGAAAUUGAACUCGCUGUGAAGAUGCAGUGUACCCGCGGCAAGACGGAAAGACCCCGUGAACCUUUACUAUAGCUUGACACUGAACAUUGAGCCUUGAUGUGUAGGAUAGGUGGGAGGCUUUGAAGCGUGGACGCCAGUCUGCGUGGAGCCGACCUUGAAAUACCACCCUUUAAUGUUUGAUGUUCUAACGUGGACCCGUAAUCCGGGUUGCGGACAGUGUCUGGUGGGUAGUUUGACUGGGGCGGUCUCCUCCUAAAGAGUAACGGAGGAGCACGAAGGUUGGCUAAUCCUGGUCGGACAUCAGGAGGUUAGUGCAAUGGCAUAAGCCAGCUUGACUGCGAGCGUGACGGCGCGAGCAGGUGCGAAAGCAGGUCAUAGUGAUCCGGUGGUUCUGAAUGGAAGGGCCAUCGCUCAACGGAUAAAAGGUACUCCGGGGAUAACAGGCUGAUACCGCCCAAGAGUUCAUAUCGACGGCGGUGUUUGGCACCUCGAUGUCGGCUCAUCACAUCCUGGGGCUGAAGUAGGUCCCAAGGGUAUGGCUGUUCGCCAUUUAAAGUGGUACGCGAGCUGGGUUUAGAACGUCGUGAGACAGUUCGGUCCCUAUCUGCCGUGGGCGCUGGAGAACUGAGGGGGGCUGCUCCUAGUACGAGAGGACCGGAGUGGACGCAUCACUGGUGUUCGGGUUGUCAUGCCAAUGGCACUGCCCGGUAGCUAAAUGCGGAAGAGAUAAGUGCUGAAAGCAUCUAAGCACGAAACUUGCCCCGAGAUGAGUUCUCCCUGAGACUUAGAGUCUCCUGAAGGAACGUUGAAGACGACGACGUUGAUAGGCCGGGUGUGUAAGCGCAGCGAUGCGUUGAGCUAACCGGUACUAAUGAACCGUGAGGCUUAACCUUACAACGCCGAAG
rnacentral:rRNA from 22 species